UGUGGGGGAAAGUGCGCUGGCCUGGGAGGGAGGAGCACCUGAAUUCUUGUUGGAAGGAAAGAAGGAAGAGAGAAAGGAAACAUACAUUUAUUAAACACCUACUAUUUGCCAUUCUCGAGACUAAGCCCAUUAUGUAUGUUAUCUCCUUUGAUCAUCACAACAAUCCUUGGAGGAAACUUUCCACUGAAGAGCAGCAUGGGAAGGGCCAUUGUAUGAGGACAUGUCGCUGCUGGGAAUCUCCAGCUCUGCAGCCUGAGUUCUAAGAGCCCUCCUAACCCUGACAUUCUGUGUUCCAAGGCCCUCCCAGCUCUGACAUCUUGGGUUCGAAGACCCUCCCAGCUCUGACAUUGUGUUCUAAGGCCCUUACAGAAUUCCAGGCUUGAAGGCAGUCAGGGAAAUUACUAUUUGAUUACUAUUUGAUAGAGCUAGGGGAAAAAAAUGACAAAAUUAAUCUGAAAGAAAAAAGAUUAAGAAUUACAAGAGAAUUAAUAAAAAAUAAACAAAAACAAGAACCAAAGAAGAUGACCCAGAAAUACCAGAUCUCAAACUAUAUUAUAAAGCAAUCAUCAUCAAAACUAUCUGGGACUGGCUAAGAAAUAGAGUGGUGGAUCAGUGGAAUAGAUUAGGUAUACAAGAUGCAGUAUUCAAUGACCAUAAUAACCUAGUGUUUGAUAAACCCAAAGGCUCCAAUUUUGAGGAUAAAAACUCAUUAUUUGACAAAAACUGCUGGGAAAACUAGAAAACAAUAGAACCCAACCUAGGUAGAGCUCAUUAUCUCACACUGAUACCAAAAGAAGGUCAAAAUGGGUGUAUGAUUUAGACAUAAAGGGUGAUACUGUAAACAAAUUAGAAAAGCCAGAAAUAGUCUGCCUGGGAGAUGUCUGGGGAAGGGGAGAAUUUAUGACCAAAUAAAAGAUAGAGAACAUUAUGAAAUUAAAAUAAAUAAUUUUGAUUAUAUCAAAAUGAAAGCUUUUUGUAAACAAACAAAACCAAUACAACCAAGAUUGGAAGGAAAGCAGAAAGUUGGGAAACAAUCUUUACAACAAGUGUCUCUGAUAAAGGUCUCAUUUCUCAAAUAUAUAGAGAAUGGAGUCAAAUUUAUAAGAAUACAAGCCAUUCCCCAGUUGAUAAGUGGUCAAAGUAUAUGAACAAGAAGUUUUCAGAUAAAGAAAUCAAAGCUAUGUAUGGACAUAUGAAGAAGUGUUCUAAACUUUUGAUUAGAAAAAUGAAAAUUAAAACAACUUUCAUACAUAUCAAAUUGACUAACAUGACAAAAAAAGAAAAAUGAUAAAUGCUGGAGAGAAUGUGGGAAAAUUAAGAUCCUAAUACACUGUUGGUAGAGCUCUGAACUGAUCCAACCAUGCUGGAGAACAAUUUGGAAUUACCUCCAAAGGACAACUAAAUUGUGCAUGCCAUUUGAUCCAACAAUACUAUGCAUCCCAAAGGGAUCAGAAAAAGGUGGAAGGAUCUACAUGUGCAAAAAUAUUUACAGUAAACCUUUUCAUGGUAGCAAAAUAUUGGAAAUUAAGGGAAUAUCCAUCAAUGGGAGAAUGGCUGAACAAGCUGUGGUAUAUGCAUGUACUGGAAUACUGUAGUGUAAUUUUGAAAAAUGAUGAAUAGGCAUAUUUCAGAAAAAUCUGGAAAGAGUUGUUUGAGUUGAUGCAAAGGAAAGUGAACAAAAUCAAGAAAACACCGUAUACAGUAUGAGUAACAUUGUAUGAUGACCAAGUAUGAAUAACAGCUCUUCUCAGCAACGCAGUGGUUUUAUGAAAGAAAAUGCUAUCCACAUCCAGAUAAAGAAUAGAAAGAAUCUGAAUGCAGAUCAAUGCAUAUUAUUUUUUCCAUACUUUACGCUUUUUUGUGUUUUUUUCCCUGUUUAAUGUUUCUUCUUUUACCACUGUGACUAAUAUGGAAAGAUGUUUUACAUGAUACUAUCUGUUUAACUAUAUAACAAGUUGCCUCCCAUUUUUGAAAGAGGGAAUGGGAAGAAGGAGGAAAGGAGGAAGGAAGAAACAUUUGGAAUUCAAAAUCUUAAAACACUGGAAUUCAAAAUGAAUGUUUAAA